rnacentral:rRNA from 1 species
AUUAAACGCUGGCGGCAUGCCUUACACAUGCAAGUCGAACGGCAGCACGGGGGCAACCCUGGUGGCGAGUGGCGGACGGGUGAGUAAUACAUCGGAACGUGCCCUGGAGUGGGGGAUAACGCAGCGAAAGCUACGCUAAUACCGCAUAUUCUGUGAGCAGGAAAGCAGGGGAUCGCAAGACCUUGCGCUUUGGGAGCGGCCGAUGUCGGAUUAGCUAGUUGGUGGGGUAAAGGCCUACCAAGGCGACGAUCCGUAGCGGGUCUGAGAGGAUGAUCCGCCACACUGGGACUGAGACACGGCCCAGACUCCUACGGGAGGCAGCAGUGGGGAAUUUUGGACAAUGGGCGGAAGCCUGAUCCAGCCAUGCCGCGUGAGUGAAGAAGGCCUCGGGUUGGUAAAGGUCUCUUUCGGUCGGGGGAAGGAAAGUUAGACUUGGGUUAA